GUGUAGCGUGUAUGUAGUUUUUUGUGAAAAGUAAGAAAGUGAGAAAGCCAUUCGUGAGUUUUUGAACUCUUCUUUUUGUUGUUGAGAAACAUUAGAGAAACGUCAAGAUAUUGUCCGGAGGCAUUGUUCUGAGAGUGGUCAGGAAAUGUCAGGGUCAUUAUCGCGUGGGUCGUCAGGAGUUGUCAUCCAUGUCCAAAGAGUGCCAGGGGUCUGUCAGGGUCAUUAUCGCGUGGGUCGUCAGGAGUUGUCAAUCAUGUCCAAAGAGUGCCAGGGGUCUGUCAGGGGUCAGUAGGUCGUAUAAUCGUGUUGUCAGUCCAUGUCCAAAGAGUGCCAGGGGUCUGUCAGGGGUCAGUAGGUCGUAUAAUCGUGUUGUCAGUCCAUGUCCAAAGAGUGCCAGGGGUCUGUCAGGGGUCAGUAGGUCGUAUAAUCGUGUUGUCAGUCCAUGUCCAAAGAGUGCCAGGGGUCUGUCAGGGUCGUUAUCGCGUGGGUCGUCAGGAGUUGUCAGUCCGUGUUUUUUUUUAAGUCUGGCUGAGCCGCUGUCUCCCCAGAGGAGUCUCAGCCAUAACUUGGGCGUUGUCUGUUGGUCUGGAUGAGCCACAGUCUCCCCAGAUGAGACUCACUCUUACCAACACACAGCGCCGUGUUUUUGUAGUUUUAUGAUUUUUUUGUUGCUUUUGUGUUUUUAUAGUUGUUGACGCUCUGCCUUGAGGGGGGCAUUUCUUCUUCCCCGCGCGGCAGUUCCUCUUGGAGGCGUCAUUAGUUACCCGGUGAUUGUAACGGUGACCUGAACUGAUGGUCACGGGUCGUCUGGCUACUUCUUACGAAGGUCAGGACGUCUUGCCGGAACUUCAACACCCCCCCGCCGGACCUUCGGGAUCCCCGGCACCUCCGUGGACGCCCCGGGGGAGCCAGGGCGCCCUACCGGGGCCUCUCCAGUCCUGCGACGCUCACCAGCAAGAGCAAGGGCUCGCUGGCGCUCCCCAGCCCCGACGAGGCGAGGAGGGCGGGUGCAAGAACGCUCUUCUCAAAAGUGCCAGACGGGAUUAUUAAAUCAAUCACAAACACUGUGAGGGCGCCGCGCACCGCGUUUGUCGGUUCUCGGAUGGAAAGUCGGAGCGCCUCGGGAACGGGACAGCAUCACAAGACAUGUCCUCUCGCGGCGGCUUUCGGCGCAGCAUCCGUUUCCCUCUCUGUCUCGCUUCCCUUAUUUCUUUUUUG